CCUACGGGAGGCUGCAGUGGGGAAUAUUGCACAAUGGAGGAAACCCUGAUGCAGCAACGCCGCGUGAGUGAAGAAGUCUUUCGGUAUGUAAAGUUCUAUCAGCAGGGAAGAAAAAAGACUGUACCUGACUAAAAAACCCCGGCUAACUACGUGCCAGCAGCCGCGGUAAUACGUAGGGGGCAAGCGUUAUCCGGAAUUACUGAGUGUAAAUGGAGCGUAGACGGCAAUACAAGUCGGAAGUGAAAUACCCGGGCUCAACCUGGGAACUGCUUUGGAAACUGUAUGGCUGGAGUGUUGGAGAGGUAAGCGGAAUUCCUAGUGUAGCGGUGAAAUGCGUAGAUAUUAGGAGGAACACCAGUGGCGAAGGCGGCUUACUGGACAGGAACUGACGUUGAGGCGCGAAAGCGUGGGGAGCAAACAGGAUUAGAUACCCGGGUAGUC
rnacentral:rRNA from 1 species